UCAUAUGUAUAAUAAAAAACUUGUGAAGGAUUGGUGUGAAUCUUAACAGAAAGCAAGUAUCCUAAAAGGCAGAAUACACAGUACAAAGGCACAGAGGUAGGAGAGAAGAAUCUUGUGUAUUAAUAACAAGAACAAUAAGAAGACCAGUUUGAUAGUGUCACAGAGCACAUAAAGGGGAAUCAUUUAAUAAGACUAGACAGGUAGGUUGAAGCCCAACUCUGAAAAAAGACUUUCAACAUUCAUAUUUGAGAGAAGUCACUUCUACUGGUGAGGAGGAGGAAUUAAGAUCAGCUUCUUGGAGAAGUUGACGAGCAACAUUGACCCUGGAACUUAGAAAGAGGGCCAGGGAAGAAUGAAAUGCCUGACUUGGGAAGUUCAUGCCAAGAAGAGAAAAGGAGGAGCAAAAUUGCAGAAGUGACAAAGAAUCAAUUUCUGGGGCCAGAGGAGUGAUGCAUGCCUGUAGUCCUUGCCGCUGGGGAUGCUGAAGGUGGUAGAUCCCUUGAAUUUAAAGACAUGAAACAAAACUACAUGGAAU
rnacentral:lncRNA from 1 species